AGCAGCCGCGGUAAUUCCAGCUCCAAUAGCGUAUAUUAAAGUUGUUGCAGUUAAAAAGCUCGUAGUUGAAUUUCGGGAUUCGUCGGUUGGUCGGGCUUCACUGUCCGCACUGACCUGACGGGUUCCUACCUUCUGAAUAACCAGCAUGCUAUUAAGUUAGUGCGUUGGGGAAGCAGAGCUAUUACCUUGAAAAAAUUAGAGUGCUUAAAGCAGGCUUGUGCUUGAAUAGAUUAGCAUGGAAUAAUAAAAUAGGACGGCAUGGUUCUAUUUUGUUGGUUUCUAGGAUCACCGUAAUGAUUAAUAGGGAUAGUUGGGGGCAUUAGUAUUCAAUUGUCAGAGGUGAAAUUCUUGGAUUUAUUGAAGACUAACUUCUGCGAAAGCAUUUGCCAAGGAUGUUUUCAUUAAUCAAGAACGAAAGUUAGGGGAUCGAAGACGAUCAGAUACCGUCGUAGUCUUAACCAUAAACUAUGCCGACUAGGGAUCGGACGAUGUUAAUUUUUUAAUGACUCA
rnacentral:rRNA from 1 species